rnacentral:rRNA from 1 species
AAUGAACGCUGGCGGCGUGCCUAACACAUGCAAGUCGGAUGUGCCGCAAGGUGCAUGGCAGACGGGUGAGUAACGCGUGGGGAACCUACCUCUUCGUAGGGAAUAACGAUCCGAAAGGAUUGGUAAUACCGCAUGAGACCGAUGGCUGGGAUGCUGUCGGUGAAAGCGGGGGACGAGCAAUGGCCUAGCGCGAGGAGAGGGUCCUGCGUCUGAUUAGCUAUUUGGUGGGGUAAUGGCCUACCAAGGCGUCGAUCAGUAGCCGGCCUGAGAGGGUGAUCGGCCACACUGGAACUGAGACACGGUCCAGACUCCUACGGGAGGCAGCAGUGGGGAAUUUUGCGCAAUGGGCGAAAGCCUGACGCAGCAACGCCGCGUGGGUGAUGAAGGUCUUCGGAUUGUAAAACCCUGUCGUCGGGGACGAAGGUGGGGGCGUGAACAGCGCCUUUGCUUGACGGUACCCGGAGAGGAAGCCCCGGCUAACUCUGUGCCAGCAGCCGCCGUAAGAC